GUGCUUCAGGGAUGAACGAGUCCCUGAUAUUUAAUUAAAUCCAUCUGUAUCACUUUGUCAGCCGUAUUCUUUGGUUUCUUGCUGAUCAUUGAAGGGUGGAAUAUAU